UUACCUCUUGCCGCGUUGCCUCGGCGGGAGGCGGUGUGGACGUCGUGCUCGCGCCCCUAACCGGCCGUGCCGCCGGCCCCUCCGUCCCCGCCGGCAGCGCCAAAACUCUAUUUGCACAGCGGACUGUAUGUUCUGAUUUAUAAAAAAACAAGUUAAAACUUUCAACAACGGAUCUCUUGGUUCUGGCAUCGAUGAAGAACGCAGCGAAAUGCGAUAAGUAAUGUGAAUUGCAGAAUUCAGUGAACCAUCGAAUCUUUGAACGCACAUUGCGCCCGGUAGUAAUCUGCCGGGCAUGCCUGUCCGAGCGUCAUUUCUCCCCUCGAGCGCGGCUUCACGGCCGACGCCCGGUGUUGGGGCGCUACGGAGGAGCCCCGCGCUCCCCCGUAGGCCCCGAAAUGUAGUGGCGGUCCCGCCGCGGCGCCCCCUGCGUAGUAGUUUUACAACUCGCAUCGGGUCCCGGUGGAGGCCAGCCGUCAAACCCCCAACUCAACAGUUUGACCUCGGAUCAGGUAGGGUUACCCGCUGAACUUAA
rnacentral:rRNA from 1 species